rnacentral:rRNA from 1 species
AUUGAACGCUGGCGGCAUGCUUUACACAUGCAAGUCGAACGGUAGGGGGGGCAACCCCUUGAGAGUGGCGAACGGGUGAGUAAUGCAUCGGAACGUGACCAGUCGUGGGGGAUAACGCAGCGAAAGCUGUGCUAAUACCGCAUACGAUCUCUGGAUGUAAGCGGGGGACCGAAAGGCCUCGCGCGAUUGGAGCGGCCGAUGUCAGAUUAGGUAGUUGGUGGGGUAAAGGCCUACCAAGCCAACGAUCUGUAGCUGGUCUGAGAGGACGACCAGCCACACUGGGACUGAGACACGGCCCAGACUCCUACGGGAGGCAGCAGUGGGGAAUUUUGGACAAUGGGCGCAAGCCUGAUCCAGCAAUGCCGCGUGCAGGAAGAAGGCCUUCGGGUUGUAAACUGCUUUUGUACGGAACGAAACGGUCUGGGUUAAUACCCUGGGCUAAUGACGGUACCGUAAGAAUAAGCACCGGCUAACUACGUGCCAGCCGCCGCGGUAA